UACUCACAAACUGGGUAAUGAAGCUAGAAAUAAUGGACAAUAUACCUUUGUUGUUUUUGUUGUUGUUGUUUUUUCUGUUACUACUGAAAAAAAACAAACAAAACAAAACAAACAGUGUUAAUUAAUGUUUAUAAAGUAUUUUGAAGUGAUCUGGACAGUGUUAUUAUGGUACCACAAGCAGAAAUAAAAUCAUUAUUAAAAUGCAAAGAUGAUUUCAUGAAGAAUAAGAUAUUGGUUCUUAAAUAGGAUUGAAGUAACAGAUGUAUCCCGUUGCAGGAAUAAAAGACUUCAUCUAGGAAGAAUGGUAACAUCGUACUCCUUAACACACUGCGGAGGGAGGCAGGAAGGCACUCUCUUGCUUGACUCCCAAAGCUAAUGAAGAAAAGUAUCUACAAUUUCCAGAAAAUGGAUGAAAAAUUCUUCAGACCUGGCAGAUUAAGAUUAUUAAGACAUUAUUUUUUUUGUUGUUGAAUUACACUGAACUCUAUUUUCAGAGCUUGCUGUGCAUGUUUGCCUGUUAUUCUCUCUGAUCAUUGUCUGGACAGAGAAGCUGAAGACUGCAGCAGAGCUUUCCAGUGUCUGGCUACGUGAAAUCUGCCUUCUGGAUCCACAUAUAAGAAACAUCUGGCAAUGGAUGUAGUAGUCACAGCUACAUUCUGCUUUGGUGUCCUCAAAGCCCAGUAUGUGAUGGGCAAUAGGAAAAGGCCACUUGUCUGAGGCCCGCCUGCUGGUGUGACCUGCCUAAGGUGCUCUGACUCCGGGAAGGUGCAGAGCCGGGGCAGUGCGAACACCAGAGCUGCACUGCCUCCUGACGGACCAAGGGAGAGCUUUUUCCCUCUUGUCUGCUGACAAAUUGCACAGCUGUGGUGUUACAUGUCAGCACUUGCAUUGCGGAUCUCCAGAGACAAACCAGGAAUGUUCUGCAUGCCAGGCAGUGGCGCUGAGCCAUUACAUUGAGACAACCUUCUUGAGGGAGCCAUGGGCCCUGGGUGAAAAAGACAAGUGGGGAAUCCACCGAUGCUCUGAGCUACAGCCUUGUAAAGAGAGGCAGCCUACUGCAAUGAGGCUGGCUAUAGAGUUUAAAGAGGAGACAUCUUGCAAAAAUGUGCUAAAUCCAUACGCUCUUUGAUGUGUUGAAACUGAUUUCAGACAACUUGCAUGGUGUUCUUUGAAAGAUAAGGUAGAUGAGACUAUAGUCUUUGAAGUCUAAGGCACGUUUACAUCAACAUUUGUGGUGAUCGUGAAGUUGUUUGAUGAUAUUUAUCAUCAUCUGGAAUGUUUCCAGUGGAAAACAUGAUCUUGCUGACCUGGAAUCUAACUCAGCUCCUACGACCUAUAUAUUCAGACUAAGAGUCAACAGACAGAUUCACAUUGAUACUCAAUGCAGAGAAGCAAAGGGCUGGAGUUACCUGAAAUGAGCUGCUCACCCUUUGAGGUCAUUUUCUAAAAUUAACCUUUCAUCAGGAUAUAAACUGACUUACAGUUCUUGCUUGUUUCACUGAAAUACCAGUUGUUUUCCUUUUCCCAAAUCCUUCCACUUUAGAAAAGCUAAAAGGGCUUUUAAAGUUAUGUUCCUGCUGGGAAUCUGGAGAAUCUCUGAGAGACUGUAGAAAUAAAUUUUGUAAAUAAUUGUUUACUGAAGGAACUGAAAAAUCACAAAGUAGUCUUGAGAGACAGACAAUUAUGGAGAAAAAAAUAACCAUCACUAAGUUUACAUGACAGAUUCAGAUUCAUUUAUUGAAACAUCUGACAUCUGUGAUGGGUUAAUAAUAGCAAUAAAUUUUUUUGACUUGAUUCCUGGAGGAUUUCUCUGUUACUUCUCAAGCUAGAAGGAAGUUUACCUUUUUUUUGUGUGUGUGUCAGCAUCUUGUGAAAAAGGACGUAGAACACCAAGGACAACUAUUGGAAUAAAGAGAAACAUGAAUUGUG